UUCAGGUUGCUGCACCACCAAAAGAAGGAGAGGCAAACACAGAACUGGUUAGCUUUAUAGCAAAGGUACUUGGGCUCAGAAAAGGCAGUGUAUUGCUUGAAAGAGGGUCAAAGUCCAGGCUAAAGGUCAUCAGACUUGAAUCUGAUUCAUUAACAGUAGCAAAAGUGAUGGAAUUACUCACAGCAGAAUCAAACAGUGGAUGAUUACAUUUUAAGCAAUGUUUUGUCCAAUGAAGAUGUAAUGAUGAUAAAGAAGAGCUAGAUGUCAAUUGUCAUUUCUGGACUGAUGAGUGACUGAAGACUGCAUUAACUGUACUAGCUAAACACCUUUGAAAAUGAGGCAAUCAGUUUUUUUAUCUCGAGUUGUUGGAGGAAAAUUCAGUGCUGUUAUGGUUGGUACACUUCUAUAAUGCUUAAUGCCAACAAGGCCUCUAAGCGCUUCACAUUAUUACCCCGUCAUUGGAUCAGGCACAUAUAGAACACAUACUCAACUCCCUGGGGAGAAUUCCAUAAUGUUUGUUGCAGAUCAGUGCAUUUUGAGCCUAAUAGGUACCCACUUGUACUCCUGGGUGGAGAGCGACAACCAUAGGGAAAGUGUGCCUAAGGACGAAAGUGAAAUGCACAGCGAGGGAUUGAACCUCCUACCUUAAGGUUGAGAAGCAGAACGCAGCCGCUGCGCCAAACCAUUGCAACAGUAUCAGUUUGUUAUUUAUUUAACUCUCUGUUAGCAUUUUCUAAAACACUUUCAGUUUAGUUUUAGGAAAGUCUACAGUUUCCAAAUUUGGCUUUCCAUUUAUCAACCUUUCUAUAAUAAUCAUAUUGUUCAAGCAAUUUGGGAUGAUUCAAUACCAUAUAAAUACUGUUCUUAGGUUUGGCUUAGCAAGACAUUACACAAUUAAGUACAUUCAGUCCCAUAACCCCGACAUAAAGUUACAAAUAAUUAUUACGACUUGCAAAUUGUUUGUUAAAAUUGUUUUCACUGAUGAAUAUUGUAUCAUUAGUUUCAAGGGAGGUUGGAGCAAGCUCUUUAUUGAAUAAAAUAUUACCAAGGUUGUUGGGUCUUACCAUAAUAUAACAGAAUUAUAUAUGACACAGGUCAGUGACACUAUAUUUUCAGUACUGUAGAAUUUUGUUACAAGAGCAUAUAUGAGAUUUUUAUAUGUAUUUCUGAUGUCUUGAUGUUUUAUGUCCUGGGUAUUUUCCCUUUGUUUGGACAUUGAGUCUGUGGAACCUGUCCUUUUGCUUCCUUUUUUCAUCUGUUUGUCAUUUAAAAGAAAUUGAAUAAAGAAGAAAAAAAAAAUUAACAAUAAAUCUGAUUUUGAGCCUGAUGAAUGUAGAUGGUAACUGUACUAAUCUGCAACACAAUAAAAUUAAAUUAAAUUAGAACAACUUUAUUAAA
rnacentral:lncRNA from 1 species